rnacentral:pre_miRNA from 1 species
AGAGAGGUUAGCCUUUGUGUGUUUGCUGAACUGGCACUGAAUAUGCCAGGGCAAGCUCUCUGC